rnacentral:rRNA from 1 species
CCUGUUCUCAUGCCGAACACAGAAGUUAAGCCCUAGAACGCCGGAAGUAGUUGGGGGUUGCCCCCUGUGAGAUAAGGUAGUCGCUUAGC